rnacentral:tRNA from 1 species
GCUUUUGGUUCAGUGGUAGAAUGCUCGUCUGCCACGCGGGCGCCCCGGGUUUGAUUCCCGGCCGAUGCA